UUUUGUCCGCCUAUGCAAAAAUGAGCGAAGGGGGUUUUGUCCGCAGGGGAUUUUGUCCGGAUCCCGGUACAUUCAUCACCUUUAGUGAUAGCUCUAGUUUAGGUUAUAAAUUGCAUCAGUUUUCUUGAAAAGGCAAUUUGAAAAAAAAAAAAAAAAUAGAACAUAAUGAAUAUCAAGAAUUUUCUGCAUUCAAGGAUAUUUUCUGAUGAUAUAAAAGUAAAAUAGUUUUAACCUGAUAGGAACCUCCUACCAUAAUCAGUAGUGGUAAACAAACAUUUGGUGGAGAUUAACUUGUAUAGUCAGCCCUUUUUUUGUAAAUUUGGGGAAGGGUACCAGGUCCCUUUUGGAGGGGAAAUUUACGUCGCGAAAUCAUUGUUUGGAGGAAUAUAUUUGCUGAAAAGUUGUUAAAAUCAGGACUGAAAAUCAAAACUGAUUUCAGUUUUUUUGCAUGGGGAAUUUUUGGCCAAAGUGGGGAAAAAAGUAUACUUUUUAGAUUGGGGAAUGGGGCCGAAUUUCGGCCCUAAAAUCAGCAUAAAAAAAGGCCUGAUAGUUUACUUUCAGAAAAAAGAUACUUAUUUAUGAAUAGCUGCCACAAAUGCUUCAAGGGAAAUCAAAGGUCACUGGAGACUCUACCAGGACAUACAUCUGACCGAUACACAAGGUUUUGCCAGGAGAUAUAUCACACAGUUAAGGGCCUACAAAGAUGCAAAGGUUAGAGGCUGUACAACAUGCAAGACUACCAAACAUAAUCAGCCUAUACUGUACAAUCAUUACCAAUUUCAAGAGCAAGGAGAUACAUGGAGAAUUCCUGUCUUUCACUGAUACUGAUCCUUCGAAGAUUUUCAAACACUGUUCAGCACGCUGGCUAUCCCUUGAGAAAUGUGCGAGACGGUUUCUUCAGCACUGCCCUGCCUUGAAGUCUUACUUGAACAGUCAUGAUGACAGUGAAAUGUCUGGGAACAGGGUUCAAAGAUGUGCUGCCAGACUCACUGAUUCGUUGUUCAGCCUGAGUUACCACUUCCUUGAAUUCAUUAUGGGUCCUCUGAAUGAAUUCAGUACCACCUUUCAGAGUUAAACAUUUCCUGUAGCAGCUUAGGACAGUACAGUUUGUGAGUUAACAGAUCAGGGUGAGCCUCAGUGUUUCCUGGUGUACUGUACUCAUCCGCCAACUUAGGACAGCUGUUUAGUGAUCGCAGAGGUGCGACACCCGUUUCAGAGCCAUUUACAUCAUUUAGUGAGGAUUCCUGUGUCUGACAGUACUGAACCUGAGGAAUUUCACACAUUUUUGAGCAGAGACCAGGUGUGCAGUAUCAACACCUUUUUAGUUACAUUUUGACAUGAAUUGUUGGAGAGAACUUGAAUACCAUGGCCAUGAGAUAUGACUUUAGCUAUAGAAUGCAAAAAUAUGCAGAAUUGUUGCAUUUGUGAUGAAAAAAAGAGAAUUUUCCCAUUUUUUACUGAAAAAUAAGCUUUUUUUUUAACAAAAAAAAAAUCACUAAACACUAAUUUUGUUCUAUAUUUUAUCACAGUUGCAUAGUUAUAAGUUUUUAGCUCACCUGUCACAAAGUGACAAGGUGAGCUUUUGUGAUCGCGUAGCGUCCGUCUGUCAGUCUGUGCGUGCGUGCGUUCGUGCGUGCGUAAACUUUUGCUUGUGACCACUCUAGAGGUCACAUUUUUCAUGGGAUCUUUAUGAAAGUUGGUCAGAAUGUUCAUCUUGAUGAUAUCUAGGUCAAGUUCGAAACUGGGUCACGUGCCGUCAAAAACUAGGUCAGUAGGUCUAAAAAUAGAAAAACCUUGUGACCUCUCUAGAAGCCAUAUUUUUCAUGAGAUCUUCAUGAAAAUUGGUCAGAUUGUUUACUUUGAUGAUAUCUAGGUCAAGUUCGAAACUGGGUCACGUGGGGUCAAAAACUAGGUCAGUAGGUCUAAAAAUAGAAAAACCUUGUGACCUCUCUAGAGGCCAUAUUUCUCAAUGGAUCUUCAUGAAAAUUAGUCAGAAUGUUUACCUUGAUGAUAUUUAGGUCAAGUUCGAAACUGGGUCAACUGCUGUCAAAAACUAGGUCAGUAGGUCUAAAAAUAGAAAAACCUUGUGACCUCUCUAGAGGCCAUAUUUCUCAAUGCAUCUUCAUGAAAAUUGGUCAGAAUGUUCACCUUGAUGAUAUCUAGGUCAAGUUCGAAAUUGGGUCAUGUGGGGUCAAAAACUAGGUCAGUAGGUCUAAAAAUAAAAAAAACAUUGUGAUCUCUUUAGAGGCCAUAUUUCUCAAUGGAUCUUCAUGAAAAUUGGUCAGAAUGUUCACCUUGAUGAUAUCUAGGUCAAGUUCGAAACUGGGUCACGUGGGGUCAAAAACUAGGUCAGUAGGUCUAAAAAUAGAAAAACCUUGUGACCUCUCUAGAGGCCAUACUUGUGAAUGGAUCUCCAUAAAAAUUUAUCUGAAUGUUCACCUUGAUGAUAUCUAGGUCAAUUUCGAAACUGGGUCAUGUGCAGUCAAAAACUAGGCCAGUAGGUAUAAAAAUAGAAAAACCUUGUGACCUCUCUAGAGGCCAUAUUUUUCAUGAGAUCUUCAUGAAAAUUAGUGAGAAUGUUCACCUUGAUGAUAUCUAGAUAAAGUUCAAAACAGGGUCACGUACCUUCGAAAACUAGGUCAAUAGGUCAAAUAAUAGAAAAACCUUGUGACCUCUCUAGAGGUCAUAUUUUUCAAUGGAUCUUCAUGAAAAUUGGUCAGAAUUUUUUAUCUUGAUGAUAUCUAGGUCACAUGUGCUCAAAAACUAGGUCAUGUGCGGUCAAAAACUAGGUCAGUAGGUCGAAAAAUAGAAAAACCUUGUGACCUCUCUAGUGGCGAUAUUUUUCAUGAGAUCUUCAUGAAAAUUGGUGAGAAUGUUCACCUUGAUGAUAUCUAGGUCAGAUUCAGAAGUGGGUCACGUGCCUUCAAAAACUAGGUCAUUAGGUCAAAUAAUAGAAAAACCUUGUGACCUCUCUAGAGGUCAUAUUUUUCAAUGGAUCUUCAUGAAAAUUGGUCAGAAUUUUUUAUCUUGAUGAUAUCUAGGUCACAUGUGCUCAAAAACUAGGUCACUAUGUCAAAUAAUAGAAAUAACGACGUCAUACUCAGUUCAACACUGGGUCAUGUGGGGAUAGGUGAGCGAUUCAGGACCAUCAUGGUCCUCUUGUUUUCAGUGUAGUUGUCUAUUCCGCACUUGCUGGUGGUAUAUUUGAUGUAAUAUCUUACGUUUUUUUUAGCUCACCUGUCACAAAGUGACAAGGUGAGCUUUUGUGAUCGCGCGGUGUCCGUGCGUGCGUGCAUCCGUCCGUAAACUUUUGCUUGUGACCACUCUAGAGGUCACAUUUUUCAUGGAAUCUUUAUGAAAGUUGGUCAGAAUGUUCAUCUUGAUGAUAUCUAGGUCAAGUUCGAAACUGGGUCACGUGCGGUCAAAAACUAGGUCAGUAGGUCGAAAAAUAGAAAAACCUUGUGACCUCUCUAGUGGCGAUAUUUUUCAUGAGAUCUUCAUGAAAAUUGGUGAGAAUGUUCACCUUGAUGAUAUCUAGGUCAGAUUCAGAAGUGGGUCACGUGCCUUCAAAAACUAGGUCAUUACGUCAAAUAAUAGAAAAACCUUGUGACCUCUCUAGAGGUCAUAUUUUUCAAUGGAUCUUCAUGAAAAUUGGUCAGAAUUUUUUAUCUUGAUGAUAUCUAGGUCACAUGUGCUCAAAAACUAGGUCACUAUGUCAAAUAAUAGAAAUAACGACGUCGUACUCAGUUCAACACUGGGUCAUGUGGGGAUAGGUGAGCGAUUCAGGACCAUCAUGGUCCUCUUGUUUUCAGUGUAGUUGUCUAUUCCGCACUUGCUGGUGGUAUAUUUGAUGUAAUAUCUUACGUUUUUUUUAGCUCACCUGUCACAAAGUGACAAGGUGAGCUUUUGUGAUCGCGCGGUGUCCGUGCGUGCGUGCAUCCGUCCGUAAACUUUUGCUUGUGACCACUCUAGAGGUCACAUUUUUCAUGGAAUCUUUAUGAAAGUUGGUCAGAAUGUUCAUCUUGAUGAUAUCUAGGUCAAGUUCGAAACUGGGUCACGUGCGGUCAAAAACUAGGUCAGUAGGUCGAAAAAUAGAAAAACCUUGUGACCUCUCUAGUGGCGAUAUUUUUCAUGAGAUCUUCAUGAAAAUUGGUGAGAAUGUUCACCUUGAUGAUAUCUAGGUCAGAUUCAGAAGUGGGUCACGUGCCUUCAAAAACUAGGUCAUUACGUCAAAUAAUAGAAAACCUUGUGACCUCUCUAGAGGUCAUAUUUUUCAAUGGAUCUUCAUGAAAAUUGGUCAGAAUUUUUUAUCUUGAUGAUAUCUAGGUCACAUGUGCUCAAAAACUAGGUCACUAUGUCAAAUAAUAGAAAUAACGACGUCGUACUCAGUUCAACACUGGGUCAUGUGGGGAUAGGUGAGCGAUUCAGGACCAUCAUGGUCCUCUUGUUUUCAGUGUAGUUGUCUAUUCCGCACUUGCUGGUGGUAUAUUUGAUGUAAUAUCUUACGUUUUUUUUAGCUCACCUGUCACAAAGUGACAAGGUGAGCUUUUGUGAUCGCGCGGUGUCCGUGCGUGCGUGCAUCCGUCCGUAAACUUUUGCUUGUGACCACUCUAGAGGUCACAUUUUUCAUGGAAUCUUUAUGAAAGUUGGUCAGAAUGUUCAUCUUGAUGAUAUCUAGGUCAAGUUCGAAACUGGGUCAUGUGCCAUAAAAAACUAGGUCAGUAGGUCUAAAAAUAGAAAAACCUUGUGACCUCUCUAGAGGCCAUAUAUUUCACAAGAUCUUCAUGAAAAUUGGUCAGAAUGUUCAGCUUGAUGAUAUCUAGGUCAAGUUCGAAACUGGGUCACGUGCCUUCAAAAACUAGGUCAGUAGGUCUAAAAAUAGAAAAACCUUGUGACCUCUCUAGAGGUCAUAUAUUUCACAAGAUCUUCAUGAAAAUUGGUCAGAACGUUCACCUUAAUGAUAUCUAGGUCAAGUUCGAAACUAGGUCAUGUGCCUUCAAAAACUAGGUCAGUAGGUCAAAUAAUAGAAAAACCUUGUGACCUCUCUAAAGGCCAUAUUUUUCAGGGAUCUGUAUGAAAGAUGGUCUGAAUGUUCAUCUUGAUGAUAUCUAGGUCAAGUUCGAAACUGGGUCACGUGCGAUCAAAAACUAGGUCAGUAGGUCUAAAAAUAGAAAAACCUUGUGACCUCUCUAGAGGCCAUAUAUUUCAUGAGAUCUUCAUGAAAAUUAGUCAGAAUGUUCACCUUGAUGAUAUUUAGGUCAAGUUCGAAAGUGGGUCACGUGCCAUCAAAAACUAGGUCAGUAGGUCAAAUAAUAGAAAACCUUGUGACCUCUCUAGAGGCCAUAUUUUUCAUGGGAUCUGUAUGAAAGUCGGUCUGAAUGUUCAUCUUGAUGAUAUCUAGGUCAAGUUGGAAAGUGGGUCACGUGCCUUCAAAAACUAGGUCAGUAGGUCAAAUAAUAGAAAAACCUUGUGACCUCUCUAAAGGCCAUAUUUUUCAUGGGAUCUGUAUGAAAAUUGGUCUGAAUGUUCAUCUUGAUGAUAUCUAGGUCAAGUUCGAAACUGGGGCAUGUGCGGUCAAAAACUAGGUCAGUAGGUCUAAAAAUAGAAAAACCUUGUGACCUCUCUAGAGGCCAUACUUGUGAAUGGAUCUCCAUAAAAAUUUAUCUGAAUGUUCACCUUGAUGAUAUCUAGGUCAAUUUCGAAACUGGGUCAUGUGCAGUCAAAAACUAGGCCAGUAGGUAUAAAAAUAGAAAAACCUUGUGACCUCUCUAGAGGCCAUAUUUUUCAUGAGAUCUUCAUGAAAAUUAGUGAGAAUGUUCACCUUGAUGAUAUCUAGAUAAAGUUCAAAACAGGGUCACGUACCUUCGAAAACUAGGUCAAUAGGUCAAAUAAUAGAAAAACCUUGUGACCUCUCUAGAGGCCAUAUUUUUCAUGGGAUCUGUAUGAAAGUUGGUCUGAAUGUUCACCUUGAUGAUAUCUAGGUCAAGUUUGAAACUGGGUCAUGUGCCUUAAAAAACUAGGUCAGUAGGUCAAAUAAUAAAAAAACCUUGUGACCUCUCUAGAGGCCAUACUUUUCAUGGGAUCUGUAUGAAAGUUGGUCUGAAUGUUCAUCUUGAUGAUAUCUAGGUCAAGUUUGAAACUGGGUCAACUGCGGUCAAAAACUAGGUCAGUAGAUCUAAAAUUAUUAAAAUCUUUUGACCUCUCUAGAGACCAUAUUUUUGAAUGGAUCUUCAUGAAAAUUUAUCUGAAUGUUCACCUUGAUGAUAUCUAGGUCAGAAUCGAAACUGGGUCACGUGCGGUCAAAAACUAGGCCAGUAGGUAUAAAAAUAUAAAAACCUUGUGACCUCUCUAGAGGCCAUAUUUUUCAUGAGAUCUUCAUGAAAAUUAGUGAGAAUGUUCACCUUGAUGAUAUCUAGAUAAAGUUCAAAACAGGGUCACGUACCUUCGAAAACUAGGUCAAUAGGUCAGAUAAUAGAAAAACCUUGUGACAUCUCUAGAGACCAUAUUUUUCAAUGGAUCUUCAUGAAAAUUGGUCAGAAUUUUUAUCUUGAUAAUAUCUAGGUCAAGUUCAAAACUGGGUCACAUGAGCUCAAAAACUAGGUCACUAUGUCAAAUAAUAGAAAAAAAAUGAUGUCAUACUCAAAACUGGGUCAUGUGGGAAGAGGUGAGCGAUUCAGGACCAUCAUGGUCCUCUUGUUUGAAAAAACAGCAUUUAAUGACUAUAUGUGAUUCAGCCAAAUUUAACGGCUUAAACCAAAGUCUUUGGACAAAAUGAUGGCUGUACAAAAAUAGUGAUUUUGAGAAAACUACUGGUUUGUUUGGGCUGAAACUUGUUUUAUAAGCCGAGUAUAGAUGAAACUUCACAUAGACAGCAAAAAAGCUGAAAAAAAAAAUUUCAUAUUUCCUUAUAGGCAUACAGACACUAAAUAGCCUGAGCACCUAUGAAAAAAUGGUAGUCGCAUAAUGGCGGAUUCAAAUAGUUCUCAGUUCUUUUUGCUGUAAGAAGGAUUUUUCCUUGAAAUCAUUUCUAUAUAUUGGUUGAAAUCAUAUUGCAUGCCUAUACUUGACAUACUGGUAGCAUUUGCAUGUUGAAAAAAAGACUCCAAACUGAUUUAA